rnacentral:tRNA from 1 species
GGGAGCAUAACUCAGUGGUAGAGUUCCUGUUUUACACGCAGGCAGUCGGGGGUUCAAAUCCCUCUGCUCCUA